rnacentral:rRNA from 1 species
CAGUCGCCGCGGUAAUACGGAGGGAGCUAGCGUUAUUCGGAAUUACUGGGCGUAAAGCGCACGUAGGCGGCUUUGUAAGUUAGAGGUGAAAGCCUGGAGCUCAACUCCAGAAUUGCCUUUAAGACUGCAUCGCUUGAAUCCAGGAGAGGUGAGUGGAAUUCCGAGUGUAGAGGUGAAAUUCGUAAAUAUUCGGAAGAACACCAGUGGCGAAGGCGGCUCACUGGCUCAUACUGGACGCUGAGGUGCGAAAGCGUGGGGAGCAAACAGGAUUAGAUACCCCGGUAGUCCCUGUCUCUUAUAC